AGUGAACGCUGGCGGUAGGCCCAACACAUGCAAGUCGAACGGCAGCACAGUAAGAGCUUGCUCUUACGGGUGGCGAGUGGCGGACGGGUGAAGAAUACAUCGGAAUCUACUUUUUCGUGGGGGAUAACGUAGGGAAACUUACGCUAAUACCGCAUACGACCUACGGGUGAAAGCAGGGGAUCUUCGGACCUUGCGCGAUUGAAUGAGCCGAUGUCGGAUUAGCUAGUUGGCGGGGUAAAGGCCCACCAAGGCGACGAUCCGUAGCUGGUCUGAGAGGAUGAUCAGCCACACUGGAACUGAGACACGGUCCAGACUCCUACGGGAGGCAGCAGUGGGGAAUAUUGGACAAUGGGCGCAAGCCUGAUCCAGCCAUACCGCGUGGGUGAAGAAGGCCUUCGGGUUGUAAAGCCCUUUUGUUGGGAAAGAAAAGCAGCAGGUUAAUACCCCGCUGUUCUGACGGUACCCAAAGAAUAAGCACCGGCUAACUUCGUG
rnacentral:rRNA from 1 species